AUCACCUGGGUGGAAACCCAAGAUGUGACAUCCUAAUUCUUCCUAGCAGUCUGGUAUCAAAAACAGCUUGGCUUGGAAUAAUGUCCAGGAAAUUAUUAAUGAGAAAACACCAUUCCUAGCAGCCACAGACUAUUAAAGGUAUAUGAAAGUGGCUCAACAGUGUUUUCAAAGACCUGGAUUCCUUCUACGUUUCUGUUCCACCAACUGUAGCAUUGUUAGCUUUUCUUCCUCAUGCUCGCUGCCUUCUGGUUACAAGAUGAUGGCCAUACCUCAGGCAUCAUGGACAAGUUCAGGGGGAGAAAAAGGCAAUAGAACAAAAGCUUUAAACCACUGGGAAGAGAGCACCAAACACUGUCACCCUUAGGACAUGAAAGAAAACCUACCACAGUUGAAGGAAGAAAAUAAAAAGGAACUCUUGACUUGUGGAAGAGGUAAGGAAUGAGGGUGAGAUGGAACGUGUGCUGAGCCAGGACUACCUCUGGUGAGGCAGAAGCACAGAGAGCACCACAGUCCUGAGGCCCAGGGACACAAGACCUAUCUGAGACUGUCUACUUCAAAUGACAAGGAACACCUCUCCACUCCCCACCACUCCCCAUGACCAGGCUACCAAGCAGCAAGAGACAAAUAACGAUCAAAUAUCACUGAGAGACUUAUACAAAUGUGGAAAGAGACUCUCUGAAGCACAACUCAAAGAGAAUAUGGAAACCUGAGGAUGGAGAAGACAUUAAGAAAAAUCUUCUGACAAACUAGCUCCCACUCUAAAUACAAAGCAAUGCCACAGAAAUUUUAAGCCUGCAAUGCACUAUGGCUAACCAUGACAACAACAAACCCCAGCCCAAUUAACUAAAAGCCUAGCUAGCAGAAGGAAAGGUGUGCUCAUUCCAGGCACAAAAACAAUUUACAGACUACUCUAUGCUAUUAAGCCAUUCACCUUCUUAAAAAAAAAAGUUACAAGGCAUACCAAAAAAAAAAAAAAAGAGGAGAAAAAUUACACUAUCAACAUAAAAAGCCAA